rnacentral:rRNA from 1 species
ACCUUGAGGAAGAAGUCGUCGAAGGUGGAAUCAAUAACUGGGGUGAAGUCGUAACAAGGUAGCCGUAUCGGAAGGUGCGGCUGGAUCACCUCCUUUCUAAGGAGA